rnacentral:rRNA from 1 species
UACAGAGGUCUCAAGCGUUGUUCGGAUUCAUUGGGCGUAAAGAGCUCGUAGGCGGCUUGGCAAGUCGGAUGUGAAAACUCCAGGCUCAACCUGGAGCCGCCAUUCGAUACUGCUAUGGCUAGAGUCCGGUAGGGGAGUGUGGAAUUCCCGGUGUAGCGGUGAAAUGCGCAGAUAUCGGGAGGAACACCGAUGGCGAAGGCAGCACUCUGGGCCGGUACUGACGCUGAGGAGCGAAAGCGUGGGGAGCGAACAGG